rnacentral:rRNA from 1 species
AGAGUUUGAUCCUGGCUCAGGACGAACGCUGGCGGCGUGCUUAACACAUGCAAGUCGAACGGGAUCGGUCAAGCUUGCUUGACUGUGAGAGUGGCGAACGGGUGAGUAAUGGGUGACUAACCUGCCCCUUGCACCGGAAUAGCUCCUGGAAACGGGUGGUAAUGCCGGACGUUCCACAACACCGCAUGGUGUUGUGGGGAAGGCCUUCGGGCGGCAAGGGAUGGAGUCGCUUCCUAUCAGCUUGACGGUGGGGUAACGGCCUACCGUGGCAACGACGGGUAGCCGGCCUGAGAGGGCGGCCGGCCACAUUGGGACUGAGAUACGGCCCAGACUCCUACGGGAGGCAGCAGUGGGGAAUAUUGCGCAAUGGGGGAAACCCUGACGCAGCGACGCCGCGUGCGGGAUGAAGGCCUUCGGGUUGUAAACCGCUUUUGUUGGGGAGCAAGCGAGAGUGAGUGUACCCUUCGAAUAAGGACCGGCUAACUACGUGCCAGCAGCCGCGGUAAUACGUAGGGUCCAAGCGUUGUCCGGAAUUAUUGGGCGUAAAGGGCUCGUAGGCGGUCGGUCGCGUCUGGUGUGAAAGCCCACUGCUUAACAGUGGGUCUGCGUUGGAUACGGGCUGACUAGAGUGCGGUAGGGGAGACUGGAAUUCCCGGUGUAACGGUGGAAUGUGUAGAUAUCGGGAAGAACACCAAUGGCGAAAGGCAGGUCUCUGGGCCGUUACUGACGCUGAGGAGCGAAAGCGUGGGGAGCGAACAGGAUUAGAUACCCUGGUAGUCCACGCUGUAAACGGUGGAUGCUGGAUGUGGGGCCCUUUCCACGGGUUCCGUGUCGUAGCUAACGUGUUAAGCAUCCCGCCUGGGGAGUACGGCCGCAAGGCUAAAACUCAAAGAAAUUGACGGGGGCCCGCACAAGCGGCGGAGCAUGCGGAUUAAUUCGAUGCAACGCGAAGAACCUUACCUGGGCUUGACAUGUGGACGACGGGCGGAGAGAUUCGUCUUCCCUUCGGGGCGUCCUCACAGGUGGUGCAUGGUCGUCGUCAGCUCGUGUCAUGAGAUGUUGGGUCAAGUCCCGCAACGAGCGCAACCCUCGCCUCGUGUUGCCAGCACAUUAUGGUGGGCACUCACGGGGGACCGCCGGGGUUAACCCGGAGGAAGGUGGGGAUGACGUCAGAUCAUCAUGCCCCUUACGUCCAGGGCUUCACGCAUGCUACAAUGGCCAGCACAACGGGAUGCGAUGGGGUGACCCGGAGCGGAUCCCUUAAAGCUGGUCUCAGUUCGGAUCGGAGCCUGCAACUCGGCUCCGUGAAGGUGGAGUCGCUAGUAAUCGCGGAUCAGCAUUGCCGCGGUGAAUGCGUUCCCGGGCCUUGUACACACCGCCCGUCAAGUCAUGAAAGUCGGCAACACCCGAAGCCCGUGGCCUAUCCAUUUUGGGGGGAGCGGUCGAAGGUGGGGCAGGCGAUUGGGACUAAGUCGUAACAAGGUAGCCGUACCGGAAGGUGCGGCUGGAUCACCUCCUU